rnacentral:rRNA from 1 species
AUUUGGGGGAAUGAAGUUAUAUAUUAAUAUAGAGAUAUAUGCGUAUCGACUAUGUCGUAUAAAGUUCUAAAUAGAAGAUUGAUGAUGACAGAUUUCUAUUUAUAUGUCUCGACCAAUUCUUGUGCCAGCAGUCGCGGCAACACAAGUGAGACUAGUGUUAUUCAUCUUUAUUAGGUUUAAAGGGUACCUAGACGGUAUUUUCAGCCUGCACAAGGAACAAAAAUACUAGAGUUUUAUUUGAGAGGAAGAUAUUAGGACGAUGGGUGUAAAGAUGAAAUUUUUUGAUACUAGUUGUACGGAUAACGGCGAAGGCAAUCCUCUAUCUAUAAACUGACGUUAAGGGACGAAGGCUUGGGGAGCGAACAGGAUUUGUUACCCUAGUAGUCCAGGCAGAAAAUUAUGAAUGUUAUAGACUAAGAAAAAAUUGGUGUAUAAAUGAAAGUGUAAGCAUUCCACCUCAAGAGUAAUGUGGCAACGCAGGAACUGAAAUCAU